ensembl:lncRNA
CACAGACACACUGAGACCUAAGAAACCCAGCUAGGUAGAAAAGAGCUUCCCACGCCUUUCCUCUGGCUCAUGCGCAGAGAGAUCCUGCGUCCUAGAACAUCAAUUUAUUUGGUGAUUCAUCUAUUCAUUUACAUUCUCAUCCGGAAUACCACACUCCGUUUAAUCAUCAUAUCUACUGAGGCUCCACUUGGUUAUGGCACUUUCUCGGAGUUUCCUUGUUUUUGAUGCCCUGGAGUUGUCAACACCAGAGAAAUAUUUGGUAGAAUGUCCUCUGACUGAGAAUUCUCUGAGGUUUUCUACUUUUCAAAGGACAUAAUAGGUUUGAGGGAGGAAGACCACAAAUAUAACAUACCCUUUGGAUUACUUCACAUCAAUGGUACUUAGCUAUCAAUAUGACAUCAUCGUGGAUGUUAACUUUGAUCACCUUGCCAAGGUGAAGAUGUAGAACACAGCUCCUCCUGCACCAUGUCUGCCUAGAUGCUGCCAUGCUCCCACCUUGAUGAUAAUGGACUGAACCUCUGAACCUGGAAGCCAGCCCCAAUUAAAUAUUGUCCUUAUAAGAGUUGCCUUGGUCAUGAUGUCUGCUCACAACCAUAAGACCCUAACUAAGAAAGAAGUUGGUACCAGGGACUGGGAUAUUGCUGUGAUAGGCUUGACCAUGUGUUCGUUUGGAAGAAUGUGGAUUUUGGGACUUUGGAUCUGUAAAGCAGUAGAGUGCUUUAAAUGGGGCUUAAUGGGCUAUCUUAGUAGGAAUGCUGAAGUCUUUGCUAUUGAGAGUGAUUUGAAUUGUGCAGACCUGGCCCAACAGGUUUCAGAGGAGAAGAAUUUCAGUUUGUGCUUUUUUUUUUUUUCCUUCCGGAGCUGGGGACCGAACCCAGGGCCUUGAGCUUGCUAGGCAAGCGCUCUACCACUGAGCUAAAUCCCCAACCCUAAAGACUGCUUUUUGAGUUAUUUUGGUGAAGAAUGUGGCUGCUUUUUGCCCUUGUCUGAAGAGUCUGCCUGAGGCUAAGGUGAAAAUGUUAAUUGCAUUGACAAAGGAAGUCUCAGAAAUGCCCAUUAUAGAUUUUGUUCUCUGGUUAAGUCUCAUGAAGAGCAUUUUAAUGGAAAAAAAGGGAAGUUGAGAAAGGAAAAAUAUAAAAUAUAACGUUAAAGUAUUCUGAAUUCUGUGUUCAAGUAUUAAAUUAAAGGAGUAAUGACCUUGGGGCAAGAUCCCACCCAGCUAAGUUAUCUCCAGGCAACUUAGUACAAACCUUUAAUCCCAGGAGACAGACACACAGAUCUCUAAAUCCAAGGUCAAUCUAUAGAGUGAGAUCCAAGACAGCCAAGUUUAGGCAGUGAAGGAGUUGGAAAAGAGGAAGCUAGUGACAGUGUAAUAGAACAAGGGGGCCAUGUUCCAGCUCCUACAAGCAGCAGAACUCAGCAGCUUCGGCCAUGUGUCUCUUGCUUUAUAUUCAAAGGAGAAGGAGACUCCUGGGACAAUUGAUGCUGGUUAGCUGGAGCUAAAAGAGAUUAGCAUCACUGAGGUGAAAUCUCAGGGAAGUGUUUUUUGAAAGCUAUGUUCCAGAGAUGCCAAGGUUGUACCUUGUGCUGUGGCUGGACUUUGAGUGUGUAAGAGUCACCCAGGUGGUACUGGUUUUGAAGGCAUGAAGGUGUCAUGAAGAACAGCUGAGGCUGGGCACUGUGAGAGGCCAUGGAAGGCCAUUGGUGAAGGUGCACCCUCAGUUGCAAUUGAUGGCCCAGGACUGAAGGGGUCAUGCAAAGGAGUUGAGGCUUGGCACCUAGAAAAGAGCCUGUGAGAGGCUAAUGGUAAAGCCUAGUUGCAACGGAAGACCCCAGUGUAUUGGAGAUGCCAGCACUAUGGGAUGAUCAUCAAGAACAGCUGAGGCAGUGGAGUGACUCAACCUGAGAGCUACAGAGGACAGAGCUGGAGAAGUGAAGCCAGCCCUUUGGAGGAUCGUGUGUGGAUCCAAGGCAUUGAAACAAGCUGCCUUGGAGACCCAAAGAUGUUAAAGAUAUCAGAGCCACAGGCUAUCUGCUGAGGAAAGCUGCUAACUGGGAGUGGAAACAACUCAGGAGAAAGAAGUUUGUUGCAGUCAACGAAGAUGAAAAAGGAGUUGAAGAUCUGAAGACCUGGAGAUGGCAGAGUUUGAAGUUUGCCCAGCUGGUCGCCUGUCUUAAUUAGGAGAUUACAAUUAAGUGAUUGGAUGGAUCUCAGAAGAGACUGAACUUUGGACUUUUAAUAUUGUUGAUAUUGCUAUAAACUAUCGGGACUUUGGAAGUUGAAGUAAAUGUACUUUUUUAUUAUGCUAAGUUUAGGUAUGGCUUCCAUAGACACAUGUAUUUGAAAGCCUAUGGAGGCCAGGGAAUGGAAUGUGAUGGUUUGCAUAUGCUAGGCCCAGGGAGAGGCACUAUUAGGAGGUGUGGUCUUGUUGGAGGAGGUGUGUCACUGUGGGGAUGGGCUUGGAGACCCUCCUCCUAGCUUCUCCUAGGAUGUUGAGUCUGUUCCUGGCUUCCUUUGGGUGAAGAUGUAGAACUCAGCUCCUCCUGCACCAUGCCUGCCUGGAUGCUGCCAUGCUCCUGCCUUGAUGAUAAUGGACUGAACCUCUGAACCUGUAAGCCAACCCCAAUUGAAUGUUGUCCUUUAUAAAACUUGCAUUGAUC